AAUACCGCAUGGUAUUAAGGUCAAAUCUACGGAGGUUACAGAUGGGCAUGCGUGCCAUUAGCUAGAUGGUAAGGUAACGGCUUACCAUGGCAAUGAUGGCUAGGGGUUCUGCAAGGAAGGCCCCCCACACUGGUACUGAGACACGGACCAGACUCCUACGGGAGGCAGCAGUGAGGAAUAUUGGUCAAUGGAGGCAACUCUGAACCAGCCAAGCCGCGUGAAGGAAGACUGUCCUAUGGAUUGCAAACUUCUUUUGUGGCAGAAUAAACUACCGUACUUGUACGGUAUUGCAUGUAUGCCAUGAAUAAGCAUCGGCUAACUCCGUGCCAGCAGCCGCGGUAAUACGGAGGAUGCAGGCGUUAUCCGGAUUUAUUAGGUUUAAAGGGUGUUCAGGCUGCCUGGUAAGUCAGGGGUGAAAGUCGGUUGCUCAACGAUCGAAUUGCCUUUGAAACUGUCAGGCUCGAGUAUGGAUGCGGUAGGCGGAAUGUGUAGUGUAGCGGUGAAAUGCAUAGAUAUUACACAGAACACCGAUUGCGAAGGCAGCUUACCAAACCAGGCACUGACGCUGAAGCACGAAAGCGUGGGGAGCGAACAGGAUUAGAUACCCUGGUAGUCCACGCCGUAAACUUUUGCUCACUCGCUGUUGGCGAUAGACAGUCAGCGGCCAAGGGAAACCGAUAAGUGAGCCACCUGGGGAGUACGGCCGCAAGGUUGAAACUCAAAGGAAUUGACGGGGGCCCGCACAAGCGGUGGAACAUGUGGUUUAAUUCGAUGAUACGCGAGGAACCUUACCUGGGCUUAAAUGUGAAGUGCAUUGAUUGGAAACAAUCAUUUCCUUCGGGACCCUUUACAAGGUGCUGCAUGGUUGUCGUCAGCUCGUGCCGUGAGGUGUCGGGUUAAGUCCCAUAACGAGCGCAACCCCUAUUGUUAGUUACCAGCGCGUGAUGGCGGGGACUCUAGCGAAACUGCCGGUGUAAACCGCGAGGAAGGUGGGGAUGACGUCAAAUCAGCACGGCCCUUAUGUCCAGGGCUACACACGUGUUACAAUGGCCGGUACAGCGGGCAGCUAGGCAGCGAUGUCAUGCUAAUCCCGAAAGCCGGUCCCAGUUCGGAUUGGAGUCUGCAACCCGACUCCAUGAAGGUGGAUCGCUAGUAAUCGCGCAUCAGCCAUGCGCGGUGAUACGUUCCCGGCCUUGUACACAC
rnacentral:rRNA from 1 species